UACGUAGGGCGCAAGCGUUGUCCGGAAUUAUUGGGCGUAAAGAGCUCGUAGGCGGCUUGUCACGUCGGUUGUGAAAGCCCGGGGCUCAACCCCGGAACGGCACCCGAGACGGCAGGGCUGGAGACCGGGAGAGGAGGGUGGAAUAGCCAGUGUAGAGGUGAAAUUCGUAGAUAUUGGCUGGAACACCGGUGGCGAAAGCGGCUCUCUGGCCCGGUUCUGACGCUGAGGAGCGAAAGCGUGGGGAGCGAACAGG
rnacentral:rRNA from 1 species